GGGUCAGAGGGAGAAGCAGACUCCCCAUCGAGCAGGGAGCCCGAUGCGGGACUCGAUCCCGGGACUCCAGGAUCAAGACCUGAGCCGAAGGCAGUCGCUUAACCAACUGAGCCACCCAGGCGCCCCCAGCAUCAAUUUGUUCUAAGUAAUACAUAAUCUUUAUAGACAAUCUGGAAAGAGAAAAUGAAAUAUAAAAUAAAAGUAAACCAUAAUGCCACCAUCCAGCUAGAGUCACUAUUAACAUUUCAGUGUCCUUCCCUCCAGCCUGAGUUUUAUGUGAUGCUAUACUAUUUUAUGUCCUGCUUCCUUUGGUGUUUGGGUUUUUGUUUGUGUGUGUUUUUUUUUUAAGAUUUUAUUUAUUUAUUUGCGAGAGAGAGAAUGAGAGACAGAGAGCACAAGAGGGAAGAGGGUCAGAGGGAGAAGCAGACUCCCCGCUGAGCAGGGAGCCCGAUGCGGGACUCGAUCCCGGGACUCGAUCCCGGGACUCGAUCCCGGGACUCCAGGAUCAAGACCUGAGCCGAAGGCAGUUGCUUAACCAACUGAGCCACUCAGGCGCCCUCUUUUUUCUUCUUGAAACACCCAUUACCAAUCCCCCUCUCUAUAUCUGGGCUCAUGUUUGUAAAACCCCCUUGUUCCUUCACCGCCUUUGCAAUUCAAAAGGGCUUUUUUCCCUCUCCCUUUGUGUGUGUUAACUCCUGUCCCCUCCUGAUAGGAGGUAUUCAAAUUAAGUGCUCGCAAAAUUCGGAGACCAAUUUUAUUCCGCCUCCUGUCUGGGUUUUCCCACUUGUCGAUGCCUCUAUAAAGUUAGUUACCACUUUGGAAGGUCAGAAGCAGUUGCUGGGUGAUGAUUGACGGGGGCGGGGGGGGGACAGGAAGAAUCAGGGAGUCCCCAGGAGGGAGGCGUUUUGCAUUUCCCUGUGAUCAUAGCAGAAGAGGAGAAAAGCAGGUGUUCUUGCUGAAUUAGGCCAGGGGAAGAAGGGUGCCCCACCGUCCCCGCCCCCAAGCCAGUGCCUCAAGUCAGCCUCUGCCUGUCAUCAGGCAGGGUCAGUGUCUGUCUAUCUGUCUCUCCCUCCUACACUUAUUCUAGUCCUGUUUCGAGAGGCCGAGCCUCCCUGCCUCCCUCUUGGAUGGGACUCGAUUCUGAACGUAACUCCACCAUGUUGAAUACCCUGUACAGGGUCUAGGAAACAAUGAGCUCCCGGAACGUGGGGAUUUGUCUCAUUCGGCUGAGGCUGCUAUAACAAAGAACCACACACAGACAGAGUGCCUUCAACAACAACAGGAAUUUAUUUUCUCGGUUCUGGAGGCCAGACGUCCAAGCUCAAGGUGCCGGCAGAGGUGGUUCCUUCUGAGGCCUCUCUCCUUGGUUCGUAGGCAGCUGCCUUCUCUCUGUGUCCUCACGAUGGCCUUUCCUCUGUGUCUGUGUCCUACUUUUCACUUCUUAUAAGGGCGCCAGUCAUGUUGGAUUAGGGCCCACCCUUAUGACUUCAUUUUAACUUAAUUACCUCUUAAAAACCCUAUCUCCAAAUAUAUACAUCACGUUCUGAGGUACUGGGAGUUAGGGUUUUAACAUAGGAGAUUUGGUGACAUAAUAGAACUGUUAACUUUUCCCAGAAAGACGCCUGAAGUCUUCAAUGUCAUUCUUCUGGACACUCUCCCCAGGAGGUAGCUCUGUGGAGUUGAGAGAGCUGAAGGUCUAGAAUCAGCUGGAACUGGAUUUGGACCCCAGAUUGGCUGUCUCUAGCUGUGUGCUCUUAGGUCAGUUACUGAAUAUUUCCGAGCUCCAGUUUCCUCUGCUGCCAAGUGGGACAAGAUACACACACACCUCAGCGUUAGCCCAAGGAUCCAGUAUGAUGAUAUAAGAGAGCCUGGCACACUACCUGGUUCAAGACCCAGUUGCCCUCCAUCACCUCUUGACUCAUUCACCUCUCUGAGGCCCCAGGGACAUGCCCAUCUAGAGAUCAGACAGAUGAAGCUAUUUCUGAUCAGGUGAGCGAUUGCCUGCUGGGUCAAUAGCUUAUGCCCUACCCCGCCCCCAUUAAUUCUUCAGAACCUUAAGGGAAGGAUCUUGGUCUCCUGGUUUCCACUUGCAUAACUAAACCUGCUUUGUGCUCCAGGACCUUCCCUCCAGCAGCCCCUUCCCCUGCUGGGCUGGUGGUGGGGGAAGGCUAGGAAGCCUCUUCUUCUAGGGCAGCUGCCCCAGAACAGGUAGGGGGAAGGGCAGAGGUCUCCUAGUGGAGAGGCCAACGUGGCCGCAGACCGAAAUCGAAUAGCUCUAGCCUUGGAUUGGGGCCAAGGCAAAUUCACUUGUACUAGUCGUCAGACUCCAGUGAUUAGCAGUUUCCCAGGCUCUGGAAGGUGACCUCUGGCUUGUUGGGAGAGUCCAAAGCAAUUGCUAAGAGCAGUUGAGGAGAGUAAAGGCGACAGGGGAGAGUGCCAGAUUCGCGGGGAGAGCUUAGCUCUCUUUGGUCUAGAAGGCAUCACAUGGAGGGCGUCCCUGAAGACAGGGAAGGAGUUUCUCAAUCGGAAGGAGUGCUGCAGGGCUGCUGGAAUCAGUGCCUUCCAAGUGCCAUCCCCACGUCCCUCCCACGCUCUCUCAGGCUCGACCGUGGUCCAGGCUCUGGUGGGCAGCACUUUGUGGUGGAGGAACCGCAAGAGAGAAGAGGUGCCAAAAAGGAAAGAGGUGACCGAGAAGCAAGUACGAUUUGCUUGGCAGGGGUAGCAGCUGCGUGAGAGUUAUGUGGGUAUUGUGUCUUUAGGAGUACCCCCUUGCUUCGCAAUGCAGCAGAACAUAGGCAGAGGUUAACUAAGCACUGGUCAUUAUUCCACAGCCUGAGCAUCUGCCCGAGGCUUUGCUGGGGAGUGGCGAGGGCAAUGUGGCAUAGGAAGAGGAAUUUCCAGCCCUCUCCAGAAUAUCCAUGAAGACACAGGUGUCUCUUUGUCCCAGCAUCUCCCACCCAGCCUGGCCGUGCGUCCACAGUCCUCGAUUAGCCUUCUUUUUUUUUUUUAAAGAUUUUAUUUAUUUAUUUUUGAGAGAGAGAGAGGGGGAGAGAGCACACAAGCAGUAGGGAGGGGCAGAAGGAGAAACAGAUUCCCUGCUGAGCAGGAGCCCAAUGCAGGACUCGAUCCCAGGACCCCAGCAUCAUGACCUGAGCUGAAGUCAGACGCCUAACGACUGAGCCACCCAGGCACCCUUGAUUAACCUUCUUAAACACAGCUCUGAUCACAUUUCCGGAUACAAAUGUCUGAUGACUCUAUUGCUGGCCACAAUCAAGGGGUCUCCAGUGAGAAUACAAAGUUCUCCUCUCCCAACAUCUUCAACCCUUUGUCUGGAGUCACCCUUUGCUCUGUGUCUUCCUUGGCUGUGCUCUGUAUUUUCUUUCCGGAGCGCUUUGGCUCACACCAUUCUCUCUGCCCCAGAUGCCCUCCUCCCAGAUCUCCGGGGACAGCUGAAGAAAGAUCUUGCCCCACUCUGAGCAUGCACAGACGAAUCUGCCCCCUGUGUGAUUCCCAGUGUGCUCUCACCGGGGCCUCACGCAACCCCUCGUGGACCAGUUUGAGAAUUGCCCCACAUCCGAGUGAUACAAAACCAGAAUAGGAACCCAUUUGAAGAGAGACUUCAAACUUCACUUUUGAAUCAACUGGAAAUUUGGACAAAAUCUGUUGACAUUAUAUCUGCCUCUUUCACUUUCAGUUCAGGGAGACUGACUGACCUUUCUUAAAGGAUGUGACUCUCUUUGCUUGGCAAGCAAUAAAUUCGUGUCUACACAUUUA